rnacentral:rRNA from 1 species
CAGUCGCCGCGGGAAUACGGAGGAUCCGAGCGUUAUCCGGAAUUAUUGGGUUUAAAGGGUGCGUAGGCGGACAGAUAAGUCAGUGGUGAAAGAUGGUGGCUCAACCAUCGCAGUGCCGUUGAUACUGUUUGUCUUGAAUAUGGAUGAGGUAGGCGGAAUGUGGCAAGUAGCGGUGAAAUGCAUAGAUAUGCCACAGAACACCGAUUGCGAAGGCAGCUUACCAAGGCAAUAUUGACGCUGAGGCACGAAAGCGUGGGGAUCGAACAGGAUUAGAUACCCCCGUAGUCCCUGUCUCUUAUAC